UACGUAGGGGGCAAGCGUUGUCCGGAAUUAUUGGGCGUAAAGAGCACGCAGGCGGUUUGUCGCGUUCGUCUUGACAGUUCUCAGCUUCACUGGGAAAGAGGGAUGGAAACGGGCAGACUUGAGAGCGAGAGAGGGACACGGAACUCCAGGUGGAGCAGUGAAAUGCGUAGAGAUCUGGAAGAACACCGAUGGCGAAGGCAGUGUCCUGGCUCGUUUCUGACGCUCAGGUGCGAAAGCCAGGGGAG
rnacentral:rRNA from 1 species